GCCACGUGUCUUUUGUGGCUUUGACUUUGUGAGUCAGACACCAACGCUCUCACAAUAUCCCAGUGGUCAAUCAGCCAUGCCCCAGGCAGCAGGGCAGGAGACAUGAGGAUGCAUAUACCUGAGACAAAUGAAUCACACUCUGAAGGCUGGAUCUGAAGGCUAUGUGACAGGUGGUUGUACAGAUUUGGAUAUAUAGUAAUGCAAUUUCUGAUUCUGUGGCUGACAUGAUAUAGCAAGACUGAAUUAUUUUGUCUUGUUUCCAGUUUCUGACUACGGUGAAUAAUGUUUCUCAGGGACAUCCUUGUGUGGGCAUAUGGUGCUAUUUCUCUCCAGUAUCUUCUCCAGAGUAGGAUUGCUGUGUCACAUGUCAAAUUUGGAUUUCUAUAACCUUUUAAAGGCUUGACUCAACCUUUCUUGUCAAUUGGUGGGGCCAAUGCAUGGGAAGAAAGAAAAAAGAAAAAAGUCCUUGUUUCCUUGUAGAGCACCAUGGCACAGUCUCUGACCUGGAUUUGGACAAAGCAAAUGAAAGGGGAAAGGAUCUCUUAUUAAUCAGAAGAAAACAGAGACAACAAAGCACAGAAGUUUCUCUUAGGCCAGACUUCGAAUUGUGUUUCCCUCCUUUGCUGUCCUCCCAAGGGCUAGACACAUGACACCGAGGUUCUCACGACCUUGACAGUUUAGCUGGAAACCCAAGUCUCACUCCUCGGGGGAUAUUUCUCACUGUCUUCCCACAGACCAUCCAUACUGCAACCCAGGAGGACAUGUUCACUCGCAGAGAGAGCAGACCAGGCCUGCAGG